rnacentral:rRNA from 1 species
CCCUUAGCUGUCCUGGGCCGCACGCGCGCUACACUGACAUGUUCAACAAGUUUCUCCUAGUUCGACAGGACUGGGAAAUCUUUGAACGCAUGUCGUGAUAGGGAUAGAUCAUUGCAAUUAUUGAUCUUGAACGAGGAAUUCCUAGUAAACGCGAGUCAUCAGCUCGCAUUGAUUACGUCCCUGCCCUUUGUACACACCGCCCGUCGCACCUACCGAUUGAAUGUUUCGGUGAAGAUUCCGGAUAGGACUGAUUUGAUUUAUUUCAUUUCUGACCUAAAAGCUAUCUAAACCUCAACAUUUAGAGGAAGGUGAAGUCGUAACA